UUCUUCCCGGAGCUCGGAUUUCUUCACCGAGAGCAGGGUUAGGUUGGUGGUCUUGAGGCAAGUCUGUAGCUGGCAGAUGGAGUUAUUCUUUUGUUGUGUUUAACUACUUGGAGUAGCAUUGCUGGAUGUAUUUUAUAUACUCUGAUUUUUUUAAGCCCCAGAUUUAACCUUGUGUAUAUAUUUUAGCCGCUUAUAUAUAUAUGCAUGUUCUUGUC